AAUUACUUUCCUCACCUGUGUAGACCUGCGAGUUUGGCGAGCUUGUCUGGAUCGUGCCUUUCUCAGAGAUUCUGCUUCUUCAUCGCGUACUGGAGUUAAAUACGACCUAAAAGAAUGGAGUGGAAAAUGAGAAACUAUGCAAAGAUGGCCUGGAGCAGAUGUGGGCAACCUCUGGCCCAGCCAACCAGAUGUCCUGCUGAAUGUCAGUUCCCAUAGGUUUCAACUUGCAUGUCCAAUCAUCAAGGAUUAUGGGAACCCUGAAACAUCUGGAGGACCACAUAUUUCCCAACACUAGGUCAUAUCUGCAACUGGGAAUCUGACGCAAAGCAAUGCAUUCAAUGGAAUGAAGUAACAUUUCCCAGAAGCUGUCAUAAAUACCUCCUCCUGAAGAGCCAGCUAUGCAACAAAUCCCUAUGUACUUAUGAAAAAAUGUUCAGGUGUAACUUGGGCAACCUUUCUGAGGAAAACUUGUUAAAAUAAAACAAUUCUGUUGUAUUUUA